CCUACGGGUGGCAGCAGUGGGGAAUAUUGCACAAUGGGGGAAACCCUGAUGCAGCGACGCCGCGUGAGUGAAGAAGUAUCUCGGUACGUAAAGCUCUAUCAGCCGGGAAGAAAAUGACGGUACCUGACUAAGAAGCCCCGGCUAACUACGUGCCAGCAGCCGCGGUAAUACGUAGGGGGCAAGCGUUAUCCGGAUUUACUGGGUGUAAUGGGAGCGUAGUCGGCAGCACAAGGCUGGAGUGAAAUCCCGGGGCUUAACCCCGGAACUGCUUUGGAAACUGUGCGGCUUGAGUGCAGGAGGGGUAAGCGGAAUGCGUGGUGUAGCGGUGAAAUGCGUAGAUAUUAGGAGGAACACCGGUGGCGAAGGCGGCGUACUGGACUGUAACUGACGUUGAGGCUCGAAAGCGUGGGGAGCAAACAGGAUUAGAUACCCUUGUAGUC
rnacentral:rRNA from 1 species